rnacentral:rRNA from 1 species
UACGUAGGGGGCAAGCGUUGUCCGGAAUCAUUGGGCGUAAAGAGCGUGUAGGCGGUCCGGUCAGUCGGUUGUGAAAGUCAAGGGCUCAACCCUUGAAUGCCGGCCGAUACUGCCGGGCUAGAGUCCGGAAGAGGUGAGUGGAAUUCCUGGUGUAGCGGUAAAAUGCGCAGAUAUCAGGAGGAACACCGAUGGCGAAGGCAGCUCACUGGGACGGUACUGACGCUGAGACGCGAAAGCGUGGGGAGCAAACAGGGAU